GCUUGCUUCUCUUGAGAGCGGCGGACGGGUGAGUAAUGCCUAGGAAUCUGCCUGGUAGUGGGGGAUAACGUUCGGAAACGGACGCUAAUACCGCAUAACGUCUUCGGACCAAAGUGGGGGACCUUCGGGCCUCACACCAUCGGAUGUGCCCAGGUGGGAUUAGCUAGUAGGUGGGGUAAUGGCUCACCUAGGCGACGAUCCCUAGCUGGUCUGAGAGGAUGACCAGCCACACUGGAACUGAGACACGGUCCAGACUCCUACGGGAGGCAGCAGUGGGGAAUAUUGCACAAUGGGCGCAAGCCUGAUGCAGCCAUGCCGCGUGUAUGAAGAAGGCCUUCGGGUUGUAAAGUACUUUCAGUGGGGAGGAAGGCAGUGAGGUUAAUAACUUCGCUGAUUGACGUUACCCGCAGAAGAAGCACCGGCUAACUCCGUGCCAGCAGCCGCGGUAAUACGGAGGGUGCAAGCGUUAAUCGGAAUUACUGGGCGUAAAGCGCACGCAGGCGGUCUGUCAAGUCGGAUGUGAAAUCCCCGGGCUCAACCUGGGAACUGCA
rnacentral:rRNA from 1 species